AGUCGAGGGGCAGCGGGGAGGUAGCAAUACUUCCGCCGGCGACCGGCGUACGGGUGAGUAACACGUAUGGAACCUGCCCGUAGCAGGGGGAUAAGCGGAAGAAAUUCCGUCUAAUACCGCGUAAUAACUCCGAGAGGCAUCUCUUGGGGUUUAAAGGGUAACAUCGGCUACGGAUGGCCAUGCGGCGCAUUAGCUAGUUGGCGGGGUAACGGCCCACCAAGGCGACGAUGCGUAGGGGUUCUGAGAGGAAGGUCCCCCACACUGGUACUGAGACACGGACCAGACUCCUACGGGAGGCAGCAGUGAGGAAUAUUGGUCAAUGGGCGCGAGCCUGAACCAGCCAAGUCGCGUGAGGGAAGACGGUCCUAUGGAUUGUAAACCUCUUUUGUCGGGGAGCAAAAGACGUCACGUGUGGCGUUCCGAGAGUACCCGAAGAAAAAGCAUCGGCUAACUCCGUGCCAGCAGCCGCGGUAAUACGGAGGAUGCGAGCGUUAUCCGGAUUUAUUGGGUUUAAAGGGUGCGUAGGCGGCGCUUCAGGUCAGCGGUGAAAUACCGGGGCUCAACCCCGGGGCUGCCGUUGAAACCGGAGCGCUAGAAUUCCGAUGCCGUCGGAGGAAUGUGUGGUGUAGCGGUGAAAUGCAUAGAUAUCACACAGAACACCGAUUGCGAAGGCAUCUGACGAAUCGGAGAUUGACGCUGAUGCACGAAAGCGUGGGUAUCGAACAGGAUUAGAUACCCUGGUAGUCCACGCUGUAAACGAUGA
rnacentral:rRNA from 1 species